CUUGUACUCCCUCCGUCCCAAAAUAAGUGACUCAACUUUGUACUAACUUUGUACUAGAGCUAGUAUAUACUAUAUACAAAGUUGAGUCACUUAUUUUGGGACGGAGGGAGUAUAUU
rfam:Triticum aestivum genome assembly, contig: Triticum_aestivum_CS42_TGACv1_scaffold_435158_5DL